UUUGGUGAUAUUGUUUUUGGAUCUAGUUUUCAUGGGAUGGUUAUUGGCUUGUGGUGGUGGUGGUAUAGGGUUGUUUUGUGGUAAUGUGGAAGGUGGUGCUGUCGGGUUAGGAGGUGGUGUUGGGGAUGUUGUUCUGUUUUGGGUUGGAGAAACAGAGGAAGGUUGUGUAGUUGGGUUUACGGUUUGGUUGGAAGUCUGGCCUUGGUCUGUAGGAGGUGUUAAAGUUGCUGGAGGCGCAGCAGGAUCCGAAGACGACGUCGAGAUGUCAUGUUGGUGUUGUUGGUUCCGAGGCAGGUGAGGAUCGUUGCACAGGGGAGCUGGCAAGGGAGCUGUAGCGAGUGGCGUAA
rnacentral:lncRNA from 1 species